UUAAUGUUUUUAUAUAUGCAAAUGAAUUAUUUCUAAAUUUAUAAAAUUUAUCAGAAAUGUAUAAAUUCCUAGAAUUCAACUUGAAAAAUAAGUUAUAUAGGGUUUUCUCAGUGUGUAUAUGGAUGGAAAUUAUAUCAUUAAGUCAACAUAACUAGUGCACCAUUCAUUAUUUUAUGUGAGACAAAAUAGAACUGUAAAUGACAAUUUCAAAGUUAAUAUGAAAUAUCAUGCAAUGGAAAAUGAAUAAGUCUGAUGAAAUAAAUGGAAAAAAGAAUUGUCUUCUUAUAAGUUUCCCUAGCUACACACUAAAUAUUCUCAAUAAUUACCUUCAGUAAAUGUUACAUUUACCAAAAAAUCAACUUACAACCCAAAAUUAUUGUAAACACUUUUAACAGAUUCAUUCAAACAAUCAAAGUAAAAGAUAAUUUGUUAACAGUAAAAAUGCACCUUCCUUUAAAAUAUUGCACACAUAUAUAGCUGACAACUAAGAUGAAUACAGUUUUUAUAUUAAUGCUGUAAGUAUAUAAAUAUGACCAUGCAAUAAUCUUAACUUCUAUUAGUUUGAUGUAAAACUAAAACUUUUUAUGAAACUAUUUUCAUUGUCAUACAAGAAUGUUAGGUUUCAAAAAGUUUGACUAAGAGAAGACGAAUAAUCAAUAAUCAUGUUUACAAGUGAAUAGAAUCAUAACAAAUAUACUAACUAAUAAAUAAUCAGGGAAUCACUAUAAGACGUAAAUAAAACAUUAGAAGUGAAAUCUCUUCUGUCACAUGACACUUACAGCAUAAAACUAUCAUAUGUUUAAAUAGUAUUGAGAAAAGAUGUGUAAUAACAUCCUGACUUCAGUAACUUACAUUCUAUUAAGCAAACUUCACAAACAGUGUAAAGUCAAAUGAUUUUUAGAUUAUAUAUAACUGAAGCGCCUUCCUAAAAAUCUUGAAAAUAUGUCAAUAUUCUAUGUAAGCUAUAUACUGCAGGUAAUCUUUAGAAGCAAACUGGUUCAAGACAAAAAUAAAAGUUAUAACCCCCAAACAUAUUUAGGGGGGGGGGGGAGGUAGGAAUGGUCUUGAUCCUGAAAUCCCAAGGUCGAAUGGAUCUCGAAAGGGUCAAUCCUGAAAUCCUGAGCUUAAAAACACCUGAUCCCAGAGUCCUGAUAAAGGUCCUACCCCCCUCACAUAUCAUACUUAAUUGGCAAAAUACCCUGUGGUUAUAUUAGUUGUUUUUCCUAAAUAACACCUACAGAUAUUUUUUUGUCUACGGGUAUCUAAUGUUUUGCUGAAAUGGACAUCAUUUUGGGUUUUGCCUAUUUCACAUAAUUAAGGGAAUAUUUAGGUGAUCUUUUUAACUUGCAAUUUACCAAGAAACCUCUAAUUUGGGUUAAGGGUCUGGAAUUGCCUAGAUAUAUAGAAAUUCUUAUGGUACAUGUAUAUCUUUUAAUUUAAUAUGUGUAUUUGAAAACUUUGGUAAAGGCAAAUAUUAUAAGUUUAAAUAUGAUUUAUGUACAGGUUGUAGUAUAAAACUAAAUGUACCAAAGAUGAACAAGAGUUUUAAUCAUUGCAUUAAUUUUCAAAGUUAUUAAAUUCUUUUUAAGAUUAAAUUUAUAAAAUUGGAACACCAUGAAAUCUGAGCAAAAAACCCUAAUGUGAUAUACAUUUAAAAGGUCACAUCAUAAUGAAACUUUCAACUGAAUUUAGCUCAACUUCCAGGACUCAGUUAACGUUGCUUAAAACAGUUGACCAAUGGAUAAACUUGUCCAUUAGGUAAGUGACACUAUUUCAACAUAAUUUUUUCAUUGGUCAACAGUUAUCCAGCAAUCCAGUCCUGAUAAACUUCUUUUAAUCAAAACCUUAACACCUGCCUUAAACAAAAUCCAGAUACUGGACAAUGAAUAAACAGAUGGGUAUAAACACAUAAAAAGAAAAACAAGAAUGUAUAUGUGUCCCAAGUACACAGAUGCCCCACUUGCACUAUCAUUUCCUAUGUUCAGUUGACCAUGAAAUUGGGGUAAAAAACUCUAAUUUGGCAUUAAAAUUAGAAAGAUCAUACCAUAGGGAACAUGUGUACUAAGUUUCAAGUUCAUUGGACUUAACUUCUUCAAAAACUACCUUGACCAAAAACUUUAACCUGAAGUGGGACAAACGAACGGACGGACGAACAGACCCACAGACCAGAAAACAUAAUGCCCCUCUACUAUGGUAGGUGGGGCAUAAAAAAUGCCCCUCUACUAUGGUAGGUGGGGCAUAAAAAAUGCUGUCUGCUAUUGUAGGCAGGCCAUAAAAUAUGAACAAGCAGUGAAGCUUGUGUAUUGGGAAUGAUUUAGCAAGGUAAUUGAAGAUUUACUAAGAAAUCUUAAUAUUUAAAAUUAAAAUUCAGCAUUUUAUUUCAAAUGAGAAUUCUGAAGAGCCAGUCUUAACAGAUUUUUUGCAAACAAUUCUAGAGGACAUUUUCUUAUCAAAGCUUCGUCCUAUAAAGCAGAUUUCACUCUUAUCAAGGAUCUAAUUUCUAUUUACCAAAUUCCAAGGCUGAAUCAACUGAAGGUGGUGUUACUUGACAAAGCAAAUUUAGCAGAUACUGUAGUCAGGUAUUGUCAAAUUUAAUGUUUAUUAACCCUCAUUCAGUCUGGCUGAUUUUUCAUGUCAAAUAAAAAGUUAACAACAUAAAAAAAAAAAUGCUGGUUCCAGAUUUGUUCAUAUGAAUAAGUUUCUAAUUAAUGCUGAUUUCAUAUUUAGAGAGGGAAAAAAGGGGGGUAAGUCUUUAUGAAAAUAACUAUUGAAAAAUUUUGUGUGUCGAAAGCACUUUGUGGAUCCUCAUACAUUUAUAAGGAAUUCUCAACUCCCCAUCCCUCCCAAAGAAUAAGCCAUGAAUUUAUGGAUACCACAGAUGUCAGUAGAUAUAUAACUAAAAGGGACAUAAAAGUUACAAGGACAAUAUGCUACUUGCUAAAUUGUCUACAUUUAAAGCUAUCUGUUUCCCACCAUCUAUAAAAAGAAUAUGCAGCAAGAGAUCAAAUGAAGCAUUGUUGGUUUUUAUUGGUGGUUCAGGGGAACAGGAUUGAGAAAAAGACACAAGGGGUACCAUACUGUAUUUGCAUUAACCAGAUGACUGUACCACUUCAAUGUUUCUAAUAGUGCAAAUGUAUGUACUCAUUCUUUUAAUAGUAACAUAACUCUAUUAAAAAAAUGUUCUAAAAGAAAGAAAAUUAUAGUUAGCAAUCUCAACACAUUUUUCCAAAUUAAAUUUAAC
rnacentral:lncRNA from 1 species